rnacentral:misc_RNA from 1 species
AACCAUUCUCACCUGCGGCUAGACCUGCGGAAGGAUCAUUACAGAGUUGCAAGACUCCCUAAACCAUUGUGAACCUACCUUCUACCGUUGCUUCGGCGGGCGGGCCCAGCGCCCCCCCCGGCCCCCCGCGGGCGCCCGCCGGAGGAUACCCAAACUCUUGACAUUAGUGGCCUCUCUGAGUAUUCUUUACUGAAUAAGUCAAAACUUUCAACAAUGGAUCU